rnacentral:lncRNA from 1 species
CUUCUAACCGUUGCUGCUAGCAACCCUGCAACCAAAAAAGGGCGGAAUUAAAAAAUAUGCGUUUCUGAUUGUACAGCUCGUCCUUUGAAAUAUGCGUUUCUUAAUGUACAGCUCGUCCUUUGCUUUCUUUCCGUAGCAAAAUUUCCUCAUGAAGUCAACGUGUCAACCAGGUGAGAAUAUUGUGGUCGCCGUACCCUUUCCCCUACGCAUUAGCAAGAGAUUUAUGUCAAAAACCUUGUUAGAAGGGAAAGACAUAUCCGUAGGCAAAACGAACGUAGGAGCGCUGACUGUUAACCGUCGUCAUAGACCCACCAGUUACACGCAAUUUUGUAAUGUCGCGUCUCUACUUACCAAGUUUGGGUAGGUGUUCUUUCUACUUGCCGUGUCGCAAUCUGGCCGUGGCAAGUUUGUAAGGAGAGCGCAC